UAACACCGGUAUGACGAAAACUAGGGCAGCAAGAGUGGAACAAAACAUCAAGCAAAAGGCCGAGCUUUCCACCCUGUACCGAGUAUAUAGAUGCAUUAGUUAAAUAAGAAAUAUUACAAUAUCACAUCAUAUCCAUGUCCCAACAUGGAACAAACUGCAUUGCACCUGCAACUAGCAAUCUUAUAAGAGGGGUUGAGCAAAGUUGUAACAUAGCCAAACAAUGAUUUGCUGGGAUGGUGUAGGUUAAAGGUUGUAUCAUGGCAAUUUGUGAGGCUUAACAAACAAGUGGUAGGUAACGAGACAUAGCGAUAGCAUCGAGACAACUAGCAAGCAAAGAUAUUAGUGAUAUCCAAGGUAAUGGUCAUCUUGCCUGAAAUCCCGUUAGGAAGAAGACCGAAUCCAUGAAGAAGACGAACGAGCGUAGUCGAACGAAUCCUCACAAUCGCAUCCUUAUAGGGAACUAUCAAGAAGACCACAACUAGAAAGAAGCAAACAAUACGGUAAACAACCAUCACAUAAACCUGGCAUGAUGCACAAUCAAGUACUCCCUCUGUUCCUUUAUAUAAGGUGUAUUUGUUUUUUGAUAAAAUUCCACAAUGUAAUGUGCAUUUCUUCUAAUUCCUCAUAAUUCCCUUUUUAGCCCUCUGAAAAAAGGAAAAUAUGUUUUCUGUAAUUGUGUGCAUCUCUCCUUGUAGUAAAAGAAGGAAAUUAUCUCUCUCUCUUCCUCCCUCCCUCCCUCUCUCUCUCGGUUUCAUAUAUCUCUUACUUUCCUAACCUAACUGAUUUACCUGCCACUAGCCAAUGAAGUUACGAAGAGUAAAUUAGUCCUAACUAUUGUGUGCCUUGGUCACCACGCCGAAAAUAAUACACCUUACAUAAAGGAAAUCAAGGAGUAUGAUGCAUAUCCAGUUUAAUAAGUCAUGGCAUGGAAAAAUGCAACAAAUAAUACUACAUAUUAAGUGAAGCUCAGUAUGCAACGAGAUGCAUAUUGAAGAAACUCCACAUUCCAUUAUUUAGACAACUCUCGUUUAUGUACCCAACAAUAUUAAAUGUUGUUAAACAUGGCAAGAGGUGAAGCAUGAAUAAACUAUCUAGCUAGGCAAUUUAAAGGAGGUCGGAAACAACACAUAACAAUUUCGGAAAAUCCCCAUAUGUUAUUUUUGAAUUUGCUAUUGUUCUUCCAUAAACACAAUUUUAAAGUUGUUAGACAUGCAAAGUAAGCGAACCUUGUUGAGUGCGGCGAUUUGGUGCCCGGACUUAGAUGAUCCCAGGCGUGAACAAUACCUCGAUUUGACAUAGAAAAAAGUUCAAAAAAGUUCAACUUUUUUGUAAUGCAAGAUGCUCAUGUGCGUGACCUCAGUACAAAAUUUUGUGAAGUUUGGACAUUCGAGAAGCUCGCGGCAAAAAAGACAAAUUUCAAAUGUCCGAGAAACUUUUGACAAUUGCAUUGUUCACGUUUGAUUUUUUCCUUUAUUGCCAGGAGCUCCUCGAAUGUCCAAAUUCCACAAAUUUUUGCAUGGAGUUCACGCACAUAAGCAUCUUGAUACCACACAAUUUUUGGAAUUUGUUGGAUUUUUUCUAUUUCAAAUCGGGAUACUGUUCACUGGGCUCUGCCUUGGAUUAUCCCACCUUGUUAUCCUACACAUUUUCUACCCAAUUUACAUAUAUAUUUUAUUUAAUUCGGAGCUAUGGUAAUUUGUUAUGAAAUAUACCAUUUUAGCAUGUCAUUUAUGCAAAUUAAUGCAAACAACAAUUUUAAACAUUUUAAUCAUGGAUGAGAGUUGAAUAUAAUUAAGCUACACAAAAUUCUGAUUAUUUUACAUAUAUAAGAAUUUUACAUGUGAUGCACGGUUAUUUAGAUAUGGGCAAUGCAAUUAAAUGGCAUUUUUCUGUAAUUAUGCAAUGUCCUCGAAUAUUGUUAAAAUUGCAGCAGGGAAAAAAGUAGUCGGGCCGAAACUGGGCACUGCUGGGCUGUAACAGGAAUGAGCGCAAGAUAGAAAAACGUGCCCAGGGUGAGGGUUUGCGGUGGUGCUCACAUUGGGCCUUGAGGCCAGUCGGGGCAGACGGGCUGCCAGGCUAAAGUCGAGGUGGGCUGGCGAAGAGGUGGACUGGCGCGGUCGAUGGAGAUGGGGCCCACGCGAGCUGGCCAGCGGUCAACGCGACCCGAGCGGGCACUGACUUUCGUCUCUCUGCUCGAGUGCUCGCACGAGCAGGAGGCCGAUUGCGGCAGGACUUGCGGGGCUCCAGAGAUGGGCGGCGGGCGACGUGGGCACCGAGAAUCGACGGAUCCGGUCAGCGCGGUGCCGGAUCCGGGCGUGGUUGGAGGGGUUCCAACGAGGGCGGCGCAGGGCAUCCAUGACGCGGCGGGGUUGGAACUCCACGGCCAUGUCCAGAGAAGAAAGAGAGGCCAGGGAGGAAUGAAAAAAUAGAGAAGAGUAGAACGAGACGGGCGGCGGUGGAGUCUCACCGGCGAGGGCGUCGACUGGCGGCGGUGUGCUGGAGGCGAGGGAGGAUAAGAAGCACGGGGAGGGGCUCCUCUCCGGUUCUGGACAAGGGAGAACCGAGGGGCGACACUCA
rnacentral:lncRNA from 1 species